GCGGCGACAUAACCCAAAUUUUUAGUUGGGUCAUACCCGUAGUCACUCGCCUAGCCUACUCGAAUGCUAUAAUAACAGUAAAUAUUUGUAUCAAAAACUCUUCUAGGCCAUAGUACAAAUGAUUUGAAUUAAAGUACUGCAGUAAAUUGGCAUGCCUUCUUCUCACGUGAUGUUACGCCAACUACUGUAGCAAAUUGUGUGCCGUUUGUGACCUCAAAACGUAAUUACAUUUUGGCAUUUUGUUACUUGAAAAACCACAUCCAUUUGAAAACAGGUCUCAGUUUUCUCAAGGGACUUUUCUAAGCAUCACAGUUAUCGUUUCCAACUAUGGUGAAAAAUGGUCAUCUGUGAAUGUGGGUGACAGACAUUGAUGAAAGGCAUUCAAAAGAUCCCAGGGAGACAAAUUGGUUGUGCGUGCGUUUAGUAUACAAAGUGCGGCUGGCAUGCAUAUAACAGUGCUAUACUUUGUCAUUAUGUAAAUUUCAGAGAAUAGCAUUUGGGCACACAUCAGUACAGUGUGAGCUAAACAGUGUUGGGCAGUAGUAGCAGUGUUACUAGUUCAUUUCUCUGUCGUGUGAUCAUAUAGUGAUUGCACAGUAGCGUUCACAGAAACGAAAUUUUCCCCAGGAAGUUGUAAAUCUUAAAUGCAUAUCCUCUGUUUGACCUCACCAUAUGUACUGAUCCUCGUGCUGAUGCCCGCCAACGGACCUGUGAAUUUUGUCUUGGAAAGAGCGCAACUAGAGACAGCGGAGGAGGGGUCUGAGGGUGAAGCCAUGGGAGACUGACCCCACCAGCAUGGCUGGAGUGAUGCUAUAACCCCCUGCUCAACUUGAAGUUUGCCUGUUAAUUAAGGUUGUAAACCUUUGGGAUGAACAUGUACUGUUAACCAAGCAGACAAACGCGUCCACCACUACACAAUAAGGAUGACCUCACAGCUGCCUGUUGCAUGAGGCAACCUCUUUUGUUCCACAGUGGGAAUCUAUCUCACAACUCUUAUUGUGGUGC